rnacentral:rRNA from 1 species
UACGUAGGGUGCAAGCGUUGUCCGGAAUUAUUGGGCGUAAAGAGCUCGUAGGCGGUCUGUCGCGUCUGCUGUGAAAACUCAGGGCUUAACCCUGAGCUUGCAGUGGGUACGGGCAGACUAGAGUGCGGUAGGGGAGACUGGAAUUCCUGGUGUAGCGGUGAAAAUGCGCAGAUAUCAGGAGGAACACCGGUGGCGAAGGCGGGGUCUCUGGGGCCCGAUACUGACGCUGAGGAGCG